UACAGAGGUCUCAAGCGUUGUUCGGAUUCAUUGGGCGUAAAGGGUGCGUAGGCGGCGCGGUAAGUCGGGUGUGAAAUCUCGGAGCUUAACUCCGAAACUGCAUUCGAUACUGCCGUGCUUGAGGACUGGAGAGGAGACUGGAAUUUACGGUGUAGCGGUGAAAUGCGUAGAGAUCCGGAAGAACACCGGUGGCGAAGGCGGCCUGCUGGGCAGUUGCUGACACUGAGGCGCGACAGCGUGGGGAGCAAACAGG
rnacentral:rRNA from 1 species